rnacentral:tmRNA from 1 species
GGGGAUGCCGGAUUUCGACAGGAAAUCUUGCAAAACCGCGCAGGAAGAGCGGUCGCCGCUCUCAAAUCCGCGACAAAAAAACAAGUGUAAACACACUUUUCGGCAAAGUGAAGUCAUUCGCAAGAGUGCCCAGCUUUGCUCUCGCUUCAAUCUAACAAGAUCGGAGCCAUCGGCCCGCCCAUACUCGCUAAGCGGUCACCGGUGUCAAUAAGCGAGCUCGGCGGUAAAUUAUCCUUUAUUUACCGCCUAAACAAACAAGGAUCGAGCCGCAACUGUUUGGUCUAUCUUUGAGGUUACCGGCUCUAAACAAUUAAGGUAGACUAUUCCUGUAGAUGCGAUUUUGCCUGUUUCUUGCACGCGGGUUUAACUCCCGCCAUCUCCAUCC